GAUGGAGGGGGAUAACUACUGGAAACGGUAGCUAAUACCGCAUAACGUCGCAAGACCAAAGAGGGGGACCUUAGGGCCUCUUGCCAUCGGAUGUGCCCAGAUGGGAUUAGCUAGUAGGUGGGGUAAUGGCUCACCUAGGCGACGAUCCCUAGCUGGUCUGAGAGGAUGACCAGCCACACUGGAACUGAGACACGGUCCAGACUCCUACGGGAGGCAGCAGUGGGGAAUAUUGCACAAUGG
rnacentral:rRNA from 1 species